AGCGGCGGACGGGUGAGUAACACGUGGGCAACCUGCCCUGCAGAUCGGGAUAACUCCGGGAAACCGGUGCUAAUACCGAAUAGUUUUUUGCCCCUCCUGGGGCGAAACGGAAAGACGGUUUCGGCUGUCACUGCAGGAUGGGCCCGCGGCGCAUUAGCUAGUUGGUGGGGUAAUGGCCCACCAAGGCGACGAUGCGUAGCCGACCUGAGAGGGUGAUCGGCCACACUGGGACUGAGACACGGCCCAGACUCCUACGGGAGGCAGCAGUAGGGAAUCUUCCGCAAUGGACGCAAGUCUGACGGAGCAACGCCGCGUGAGUGACGAAGGUUUUCGGAUCGUAAAACUCUGUUGUGAGGGAAGAACAAGUACCAAGUAACUACUGGUACCUUGACGGUACCUCACCAGAAAGCCACGGCUAACUACGUGCCAGCAGCCGCGGUAAUACGUAGGUGGCAAGCGUUGUCCGGAAUUAUUGGGCGUAAAGCGCGCGCAGGCGGUCCCUUAAGUCUGAUGUGAAAGCCCACGGCUCAACCGU
rnacentral:rRNA from 1 species